UACGUAGGGUGCGAGCGUUAAUCGGAAUUACUGGGCGUAAAGUGUGCGCAGGCGGCAGAGCAAGUCGAGUGUGAAAGCCCCGGGCUUAACUUGGGAAUUGCGCUCGAAACUACUUUGCUGGAGUGUGGCAGAGGAAGGUGGAAUUCCACGUGUAGCGGUGAAAUGCGUAGAGAUGUGGCGGAACACCAAUGGCGAAGGCAGCCUUCUGGGCCAACACUGACGCUCAUGCACGAAAGCGUGGGGAGCAAACAGG
rnacentral:rRNA from 1 species